CCAACUAUGUGUCUGUCUAUCCCUGUUCUCUCCCCUCUGCACAGGCCAUACAAACGCUUCACACCGCGUGGCCGCUGCCACUCUAACCUGGUGGUCCCAGCGCGCACGACCCACGUGGAGUUCCAGGUCUCCGGCAGCCUCUGGAACUGCCGGUCUGCGGCCAACAAGGCUGAGUUCAUCUCAGCCUAUGCUACCCUCCAGUCCCUAGACUUCCUGGCGCUGACGGAAACAUGGAUUACCACAGAUAACACUGCUACUCCUACUGCUCUCUCCUCGUCUGCCCACGUGUUCUCGCAUACCCCUAGAGCAUCGAGCCAGCGGGGUGGUGGCGCUGGAAUCCUCAUCUAUCCCAAGUGGACAUUCUCUCUUUCUCCCCUGACCCAUCUGUCUAUCUCCUCAUUUGAAUUCCAUGCUGUCACAGUUACCAGCCCUUUCAAGCUUAACAUCCUUAUCAUUUAUCGCCCUCCAGGUUCCCUUGGAGAGUUCAUCAAUGAGCUUGACGCCUUGAUAAGUUCCUUUCCUGAGGAUGGCUCACCUCUCACAGUUCUGGGUGACUUUAACCUCCCCACGUCUACCUUUGACUCAUUCCUCUCUGCCUCCUUCUUUCCACUCCUCUCCUCUUUUGACCUCACCCUCUCACCUUCCCCCCCUACUCACAAGGCAGGCAACACGCUUGACCUCAUCUUUACUAGAUGCUGUUCUUCCACUAAUCUCAUUGCAACUCCCCUCCAAGUCUCCGACCACUACCUUGUAUCCUUUUCCCUCUCGCUCUCAUCCAACACUUCUCACUCUGCCCCUACUCGGAUGGUAUUGCGCCGUCCCAACCUUCGCUCUCUCUCUCCCGCUACUCUCUCCUCUUCCAUCCUAUCAUCUCUUCCCUCUGCUCAAACCUUCUCCAACCUAUCUCCUGAUUCUGCCUCCUCAACCCUCCUCUCCUCCCUUUCUGCAUCUUUUGAUUUUCUCUGUCCCCUAUCCUCCAGGCCGGCUCGGUCCUCCCCUCCUGCUCCGUGGCUCGACGACUCACUGCGAGCUCACAGAACAGGGCUCCGGGCAGCCGAGCGGAAAUGGAGGAAAACUCG
rnacentral:lncRNA from 1 species